GACGAACGCUGGCGGCGUGCUUAACACAUGCAAGUCGAACGGAAAGGCCCUGCUUUUGUGGGGUGCUCGAGUGGCGAACGGGUGAGUAACACGUGAGUAACCUGCCCUUGACUUUGGGAUAACUUCAGGAAACUGGGGCUAAUACCGGAUAGGAGCUCCUGCUGCAUGGUGGGGGUUGGAAAGUUUCGGCGGUUGGGGAUGGACUCGCGGCUUAUCAGCUUGUUGGUGGGGUAGUGGCUUACCAAGGCUUUGACGGGUAGCCGGCCUGAGAGGGUGACCGGCCACAUUGGGACUGAGAUACGGCCCAGACUCCUACGGGAGGCAGCAGUGGGGAAUAGUGCACAAUGGGCGGAAGCCUGAUGCAGCAACGCCGCGUGCGGGAUGACGGCCUUCGGGUUGUAAACCGCUUUCGCCUGGGACGAAGCGUGAGUGACGGGAAUGGGUAAAGAAGCACCGGCUAACUACG
rnacentral:rRNA from 1 species